CCUCAUUGGACAUUGUUUAUCUGGUGAGAUAGGACGAUCUUUGUUUCGAACUCGCAGUUGAAUAAAAUGUUUUGAAACAAUUUCCCGGUCAAAAAUAUCACACAUGAUUCAUCCGGUGCGGUAAUCAAUGCUAGUAAGUAAAAUGUAUUUUCAAUUUUUAGAGCGGACAUUUCACAGGUUACUGAUCAGUGAUCACUGGCCUCAUACUUUAUUGAAAAUACCACGCGCACCUGAGUCAAAGCUGUUAUAUCGUGGCUGUUUGGCAUCAUUUGAAAACAGAAAAUGUUGCAUAAAAUUAAGCAAAUUUUGCAUAAAAUUAAGCAAAAUACAAUCGCG